UAAUCUUGGACACGUGUUCUCUUCUUUCUUCUAUAUUGCCGGCGACGUAUCAUUUCCUCUUCUUCCACCACGUAUUUGCAACCGUCGAAUUAACUCCAGCUCUUGACUCCUCUGCAAUUAAAUAUCGAAUACUUCCUCAUCCUUUCAGCUUCCAUAUUUAGGAACACGUUGGCAAGUCUCUGCUCAUUUUUUUUCUAUUAUUGCAAUCCUCUAUUACAGCUGGAGAGGGCAAUGGAGAGGCAGAGAAGCUUGCUUGGGUUCGUUGAGAGGCAAAAAAACUUCCCGGGUAGUAAUAGAGAGAGCACCAGUUGUGGAUCCAGUUCGUGGAACUCUAUAAAUUUGCUAAGCGAUCAUUCAUGGGCAUGAUGAAGAAAAAGUAUUCGACUUCUGCUCACUCACAUGCUUCCUCCUGUGCUGAUUGAGAAAGAUGGUACUCAGAGAAGUUCGUGAAAGGACAAUGAGAUAAAGAAGACUGUGUUCCUGAGUGAAAAACGUAAAUAGAAUGUCUCUUGGAGAGUUUAGAUCGAAAACUUCUUACGCCCAUUUUGGAGUUUUCUGACAUGAUGGUUGCCCUUCUGAUGUAAGCUUGGGAUUUCUGCGUUUGCAAUCUGGUGAGUCAACAUCUGAUCUUAUCGUGUUAUUUCAAACAUGGAAGCGGGUAGAUUGGGCUCCAACAAUCGGUUAGAAGGCUUUUUCCCGGAUUACUCCAGCAGUUCAAUAAUAGCUGAUGUUAUCAUAUGCGAAAAUAUGUUUGGGGUGCUGACUUCUUCUUCUUCAUCAGCUGAUACUCCCCUUCGUUUCUUUGUUUAUGACAAGUAUUUAAAAGGACUAGAAAGGAACUCUAGAGUGGUGACAACAUUACAAAAAUACUUUCAAAGUAUUUGGACCAUUGGGAUCAUCACACUUCACAGCAGAGGGUAAGUUCGAGUUUAGCCCCAUCUAAUGUGUGCCACCAGAUAAGGCUCUAUGUAAAAGAGGUUUUCAUUUCAGAUUAUUUAGACCGGGAGGUGGUGAGAGAUUUCUCUUUGGUGUGGCCUUUCAAGAAAUCUGUAUUUCUUUUUUAUUGAUAUCCAUUUUAAUGCAAAGCCUUCAACAUAUAUAUUCUGUUACGAUUUUUUCUAUAAGUUUCUUAAUAUUAAACUUACGUUUCUGUAUCGUGUCUCAAAGGUGCAGAUCAUGAUAAACUGUAUUGUGAAGAAAUCUUUAAAUAUGAUCUUUUUGAAUUUCCUUCA